rnacentral:lncRNA from 1 species
AUGCCGCCUAUUACUCUAAAGAGGGUCACAUCCAUUCAGCAACACAUGGAGAUAAUGCCUUAUUGCGCGGGGGUUCUGGUGCCUGCUACUGUUGUAACCCAUCGUUGCUCUCUAGUGUCAGACAGCUUGUGUCCUCCACGGGCUCUUGGCUUCUCUGAGCGAUCUGUCGUAAGGAAGAGUAGCAAAGAAAGAGUUUUUCAGCUGGCAGUUAAUGAAGAGCACAAUGAAUGUCACAGUCAAGAACAGAAAGAAAAACAGGAUGAUUUCCAAAUACUCUCUGGAUGAUUCUCAGCAGCUCCACUUUCUGAAAAUGCCUGAUUCAAGGAUGAAAAUUGUCCUUCGAGUUAUGAGAAAGAAACACAACCCAGCACUGCCCUUCCUCAAGUAACCUGCAAACAAUUGCAGAAGCAUUGCUGCAUUUUGCUUCACAAGUGGUGUACUUGUACUCAUUGCCACACGUAUUGAGAGAAGUUUCUUUGUAAGAAGUAAGUGACAUAUAAUAAGUAACUCCUCUCUGAGCUUGCAGGAACCUCAGCAUCUUCCAUGGCAGCAGAGCCAAGUAGUGACAUCCUGUUCACCUGCGUUCUCACCAAGGAAUUUUACGGAACUCCUUGACCACGAGGUGACUCUGUGGCUCUGUGAUGGAGGGACGAUAACCAGAUCCCUUUUGGUCCCACUGCUCUGGGCUUCUCAUGGUCAGCCAUAAGGGUGAGAAAAGGUGCAAGAAGAAGAGAGUUUGGGAUAGACAAGGAAUUUUUUCCUAGCACCAUCCAGGGCCAUCUUGAUCCUCUAGAACUGGGUGUUCAUCCAAUACCCGGUUGGCUGGGUUAAAAAGUCUGGUGUGGUAUGCAAAAGCAAGUGAAGGGCACUGGGUUAUAGCUCAAACCACAGUCUACCAUGGGAGUUCAUUUGUCAAUAGUGGGUCACAUGCUGCUUGCUUCCUUAUUUUGAGCUGUUCCUUACUCUGCAGUUGAGUUCAUUGAUUUCAUCAGGGCUACUCACACUGUUAUGUACAAACUGUUGUAAGUAAGGAUAAAACAAUUGUACCCUAAUCCCCCAACUGUGUUUCAGACCUCUUUGUCCAUCCCCUAAAAUUUUGAUGUCAUCUAAUCAGGCUGAAAAAAUGAAUUGUGUAAAAAAUCUUGGACUUAGCUAUAAGACUUAUAUAUAUAUAAAAAAUAUAAGUAUAUAUAUAAAAUAACUAUGAAACUAUCUCUCAAAAUGCUGCAGACUCACUUUUCAAUAUGCAAUUUUCAUUCUAUUGAAUUUUUUGACAUAUGGUUAUGUAAAGCAUCUAAUAGCAAACUCUAUCCAUUUCCACCUUCCAGAAGGCAGUAACUUCAGGAGUUAAUGUGAGAUUAUUUUUAGCAUGUAUUCAAGUUUAUUCAUGCUGAAAGGUGGUACUUAUCUUUUGUAAUUUUAGAGUAGUUAUUUGAAUAAAAACAUGAGUGUGGUUCUAUUUUAACUGCCAUGUGACAUUUGGGAGCUAGUUAAAACCUCACCCAAGAUGCAAAAAUCUCAACAUUUUUAAUUUGCAACGUCUCAGUGGUACACAAAAUACCUGUACAUGUGUUUGGACCUAUGUCUGUAAAUGCAUAAGAUAUGAGUAAUCUCCUUUAUGCUAAGAGAAUAUUAUACCAUAAACAAUGAAAACAUCCAUCGGCCAG